GACGAACGCUGGCGGCGUGCUUAACACAUGCAAGUCGAGCGGUAAGGCCCUUUCGGGGGUACACGAGCGGCGAACGGGUGAGUAACACGUGGGUGACCUGCCCUCAGCUCUGGGAUAAGCCUGGGAAACCGGGUCUAAUACUGGAUAUGACUCCAUGACGCAUGUUGUGGGGUGGAAAGCCUUGUGCGGCUGAGGAUGGGCCCGCGGCCUAGUCAGCUUGUUGGUGGGGUGANGGCCUACCAAGGCGACGACGGGUAGCCGGCCUGAGAGGGCGACCGGCCACACUGGGACUGAGACACGGCCCAGACUCCUACGGGAGGCAGCAGUGGGGAAUCUUGCGCAAUGGGCGAAAGCCUGACGCAGCGACGCCGCGUGAGGGAUGACGGCCUGGU
rnacentral:rRNA from 1 species